rnacentral:misc_RNA from 1 species
AAAGUCGUAACAAGGUUUCCGUAGGUGAACCUGCGGAAGGAUCAUUACCGAGUGAAGCGUCUCUCAGGAGACGUGACCUCCCAACCCUGUGUUUAUUUGACUUCUGUUGCUUUGGUGGGUUUGUUCCCUUUACACCGGAACAUUUGAGACUUCCCUCUGUGAAGAGGAAGGACAACCACCAAUGGCCCAAAUCAAAUUCUUGUACCGAAACGUGUCGUCUAAAAACUAUUUUUUGAGAAAUCAAAUCAAAACUUUCAACAACGGAUCUCUUGGUUCUG